CUUUUAUUACAGUCUUUGGCUAUCAAUGGUCCUUUUGCCUUUCCCUUAGGGAACAGGAAAGACAGAGACUGACAUGAAUCAGUGUAACAUUUAAACCACAGUGCUAGCUAGCAUGACUGUGAUAGCCAUCUCGACGUGAUGUCAUAAGUAGCUGGUGUUGCCAUGGCAACACUACAAUGGUAAACAAAGAUGUUUUCUGGAUGGCUAGAGUAAAGGUGGCUUUUAUGCUGUCUCACACCCUCCUGCCCCUGACCCCCUACCAUGGAUAGGAAAGAUUUUCUUUUCUUUUGCUAUGCAUUUUUCACCUUCAGAUGAAAUAAGCGAGACACAGAUGUCUAGAAACAACGAAUAUCACCAAGUCCAAGUCGCUUUCUUUCCUAUGAGGACACUAAGACUCAGAGGAAUGAAGUAAGUUUAGGAAGACUGCACAGAGUGGAUUAAAGCACCAAGCUCCUGAGAGUCAUUCAGAGUUUUGCUGUGAGUUUCUUUCUCUUGCUGUUGUUUAUUUGAUCGGUUAAAAGGAAAGUUGGUUGAGUUAAUAAAAUUUUAAUUCCUGGAAAGAUUUGCGUAAGUCUUGCUUUUUUCCUGAGUUAUUGCCUUGCAGGCUAGCUGUAUUUUAGCAUUGAUUAUCUGCAUUAAGAAACUACAUAUAUCCUGCUUUUGGAGCAAAGUUCUAUAAGGAAGAUGACACAUCUCCAUGAUGUCAUCUGUUCCUGAUAGGGUUUUCUAAAGGCUUUUGCUGAAGGAAACAAUAAUAUUCAGUUGGGUGUCCCCAUUUCCUCUUUUUGUUUUAUUCUGUGCAGCUGUGUUGGAAGCAAGCAGAGGAAGUAACCAAAAGUGGAUCUGGAUUAGAACGAUUCUCGAACUUCCCUUUCCAACAUCUGUCUUGCUAUGGGGCAAGUCAGAGAGGAGGCGGCCUCACAAACAGCCCUUUGUCAGAGCUAACAGCAUGUUUUUCUUGUGAGAAAUGCCCUUUUCCCUAAUGUGAGGUUUGAAAACUGUUGCUUAUCAAAAGUGGAAGUGUUUGACCCUCAUUGGUGUGCACUAGUGGUGGUAAUGUCACCAGUUCCUCAAAGUGAAGGCAGAUGUUUGCAGUAAGAAGUCAACACUGAACAAAAGAUUUUUAAGAUCACAUAAAAAUAUCAUUAAUAAAAGAUUAUUUUUUUUAAAAGAAAGAAACAAAAAGCCCAGGCUUGUUUUUCAGGCUUCAAUGAGAGCUGUCUAUAGAACUCCACAGGAUGUUUCUCGCAGGCUUUUCCAUCUUGAUGAUUCCAUCAUGGUAUUUCUUUAAAAUUACGGUGAUUCAAUAAAGUUUCUUUGGUUAUUUUGCUGCUUAAAUGUUAUUAGAAGAUGACAACAUCUUGGGAUAUUAGGUUGAAUUUUAAUCAAUGGUCUACAGUUUUACAAUUCUGCUUUUGUAAAUAUCACAGCAUUUUCCCGAUAUUUAGUUUGAUUUCUUAUAGUGACUUUGUUCAACUUGGAUUAGCCAGAGAUGACUCCCACAUUUUAGGAUGCUAGUUGUGGACUUUUGCCUUCAUCCCCUCUGACUUCUUACUCUGAACUACUGCUUAGCCAGGAAAAACUGUGUUUUUUAUUGUUUUGUUUUUAAUCCUUGGCCUUGUUGUCUUUGGGCAGAUUCUGUAGCUGAACCACUCCCCACCAGACCCACAUACAUAGACAUGCCCGCCCUGAGGGAGGUUUCUACUUCAGGGUGAUACAGUCUUAACCUGUGGCAAGUCCUCCAACUUGAGAUGUCUGGGUUAUUAGUCCUGCAAUCGCUUUAGUCAAUGAAGGUUCCCACGAUCUGUGUCAGGGCCUAGUGGUUAGUAUUGUAUUAGCCUCGCUGUGAGUGACUUGCUGAAAUGUGCACCAGUGCCUUUGACCUCCCAGAUCACAUGAAGGAAGGGAAGGAGAAGCUCUGUGACUAUGUGAUUCCCAUAGAAUUUUGCUUGUUCUGUCUCUGGAGCACUAUAAGACAAAUGCUACUCACUUCUUUUAAGAAAUCCCAGCUGCAGAAGGAGUUGCUGACCACAACAGAGGCUGUUGCCAAAACACUCUAUUGGAGUUGUUGCUGUGGCCCAGAAAUAGUUGCAAAUAAGCAGAAGUUUUCAGGAAAAAAAAAAAAAGGAAAAUUAAAGCUCAUGAAAGCAUUUUAAGAUAAAAGGAGUUUUAUCUAUGGCUAUGUCUGUAUAAACACAGUUUGUGGGUUGAAGGACCAAGUCUGUGCCAGUGCUCAUAUUGUGCUAUUGCUCUUUUAUUCUAGCUGAGUUAGGGAGAUAUUUCCCUUGGCUUAGAUGACAUCAGUCUCAAUGGGUGGCUCUGUAAAAUAUUAUUUUAAAAACCCACAUAUUGUAAAAGAGUAAACUAUGGUUAAUAAUUUUGUUACUUUGCUCAGAGAAGGUAACUUUAGAUAUCAUAGCUGUGGGCAUAAUGUACAGGUUGUUCUCUUGUUUUUGGUCCAUCCCAUGAUGCUAUGUUUCUGUGUCUUUGGGAAAAUUCCUUCACAUCCAUUAUUUUCAGUUUACUGUUACUCUAAACAUGUCAUUAAUCUCAGGCUGUGGAUGGCAUAUGGCAAUAGGGAUGGAAAAAGCAUAUGGCUGUAUGUAUCAGUAUAUUGCUUCAAGAUGCAGGCAUGACCCUGGGGUGAUGACACUCAUGAAGAUCAGGAUGAAGAGCUUCCUUCACAGAAUGAGUGAUAAUAGAGAGAAGUUUUUGAUGAAUGACCAUUUGGAGACUUUUAGGGAAUCAAUAAAUAACACUCCUUAUUUUCCUCUCCUGAGCUUGGAACCUAUUGAAAAAUAAGAUAGAAGCCAAAUGAAAAGAGAUGAAAAUAAUAGUUUCAUUAUGGAUAAAAGCUGCAUCAGGGAAUGCAAUUUAAUAUGUGGCCAAAUGGGCAUCUAACAUCUUCUUUACCCUCCAUCAAAUUUAAUCUAGUGCUCAAAACUGCUGGCAUUUUUCUUACAGGGAUGCGGAUGGCCCACAUAGUUGAGAACAGCAUGUAAUACCCUCUGUCUACAGGCAGCCAUCUCUCUGUGUUAGGGAGCUCAGCCCACAAGAGGCUUCCCCUAAACUUACAUUAUACUGACUCACUCAUCCUCCCAUAGCAAAGUAUGGUAAAGGAAUGAGGAGAGAGGCCAAGGGAGAGAGUAGGAAGUCUCUCAUAGAAAUAUGAGGCAAGAGAAGUUGAGACCUCCUUUAACAUCCUUAAGUUGCAAAAAGAGAGAGGAGAGUGUUAAUCAUAAUCGGUGAAGAGAGAGAAAGGUCAGCACCUUAGGAGUGGGGCAGACAAUGAGCCUACUGAGUAAAGAGGUUAAAAGUAGGGGAGAACAAGAACAUAUGGAGAGUAGACGCUAGCGUUUACGGCCACUUUUGCUAGUUCAGGUGGACAGAUGAGAGGCUAAACAGCACAUUUGACAGAUUUAAAGGGCUAAGAGUAGAAAGAGUCCAAGUUCUGUUGAGAGGCAAAUCCUGGUGGGUCUUGCUUUCCUGGGGUUGGCACCCCAAAGGGCUGCACUCUAGGAGAAAGUGUAAACUAAGAGUCAACAGAUUCUCACAGGCACUGCAGCUCAUUUUAGGAUCCUCUUAAUCCUUAUAGUUGAACUGAGGUAAUCCCAGAUUGCUGGUACUCACAAGCACCUGAUAAACAUGAACACAAGUACUUCCCAAUGGAAGAUAACAACAUCCUCGUCCUUACUUUAUUUCUACAAACAGUAUUACAAAUAAAAUAUUUGGCACAUAAUAAAAAAAAUCCAUAGACAUGAAGAGACAAGAUAAACAUCAAUAGGAAUAAAUGGAAAUAUCAGACAAUAGAAAUCAAUCUAUGGUGGUUCAUUUGCUUUUGUUCUGUUCCGUGAUGCAAUAUCUCUGUGUCUGAGAAAAUUCCCUCACAUCCAUAUUUUCCAGAUAUUGGGGUUAUCUGACAUAGACAUUUAAAAUAACUAUAUUUUCUGUUUUUUAAGGAAAAAAGAGACAAGAUUGAGAAUUUUG
rnacentral:lncRNA from 1 species